AUUGAACGCUGGCGGCAGGCCUAACACAUGCAAGUCGAGCGAGCGGCGGACGGGUGAGUAAUGUAUGGGGACUGCCCGAUAGAGGGGGAUAACUACUGGAAACGGUAGCUAAUACCGCAUACUAUCGGAUAACCCAUAUGGGAUUAGCUAGUAGGUGAGGUAAUGGCUCACCUAGACGACGAUCCCUAGCUGGUCUGAGAGGAUGAUCAGCCACACUGGGAAUGAGGAACGGCCCGGACUCCCACGGGGGCAGCAGUGGGGAAUAUUGCACAAUGGGCGCAAGCUUGAGGCAGCCAGGCCGCGGGUAUGAAGAAGGCCCUAGGGUUGUAAAGUACUUUAAGGCGGGAGGCGUUACCGACAGAAGAAGCACCGGCUAACUACGGGCCAGCAGCCGCGGUAAUAC
rnacentral:rRNA from 1 species